GUUUACAGCCAUGCCACCCUGAACAAGCCUGAUGAACAAGCCAGAUGUCUGAUCUCGAAAGCUAAGCAGGGUCGGGCCUGGUUAGUACUUGGAUGGGAGACCACCUAGGAAAACCAGGUGCUGUAGGCA
rnacentral:rRNA from 1 species